rnacentral:rRNA from 1 species
CAAUAGCGUAUACUAAUGUUGUUGCAGUUAAAAGCUCGUAGUUGAACUUCUGGUAGGAGUGUCCCGGCCUUUUUGUUUUUACAAAUUGUAUGCUGUGUGACAUCUCUGGCCAUCCUUCUUCUUUGUUUAAAGAAGAUCUUUCACUGUAAAAAAAUUAGGGUGUUCAAAGCAAAAGUUUCUUUGGAAUAUAUUAGUAUGGGAUGAUAAGAUAGGCUCUAGAUGCUAUUUUGUUGGUUUGCACAUUUAGAGAAUGAUUAACAGGGACAGUUGGGGGUAUUCGUAUUUACAUGUCAGAGGUGAAAUUCUUGGAUUUUGGAAAGACGAACUACUGCGAAAGCAUUUACCAAGGAUGUUUUCAUUAA